CAUCCCAUCUUAAGUUCUCUUGCUAGUUUUUGCUUUUUUUAGAGCUUCUCCUCCUCUUCCUCUCUUCCUCCUCCAAAUCUCUUCAUCCUUUAGAGCAUCCAAGGUGUUUGAAGAAGAAGAAAGAAAUCAGCCUCCAAAUUUCCUUGCUAGCUAGCACUUUCAAGGAUCCUGAUCUACGUCGAUCUUCGUGUGGACUUUCUGUAGAGGCCAGUGAUUUGGUGUGGCUGCGAGCAACCUAAAGGAGAGCCUCUCUAAGCAUUGGAUCAGAAGAGAUC
rnacentral:lncRNA from 1 species